rnacentral:rRNA from 1 species
GUCUAUGGCCAUGCUACCCUGAACACGCCCGAUCCUGUCUGAUCUUGGAAGCUAAGCAGGGUGGGGCCUGGUUAGUACUUGGAUGGGAGACCACCUACACCUA